rnacentral:rRNA from 1 species
GACGAACGCUGGCGGCGUGCUUAACACAUGCAAGUCGAACGAUGAACCCGGAGCUUGCUCCGGUGGAUUAGUGGCGAACGGGUGAGUAACACGUGAGUAACCUGCCCUUGACUCUGGGAUAACUGCGGGAAACUGUAGCUAAUACCGGAUACGACCCUCGGCGGCAUCGCCAGGGGGUGGAAAGAAUUUCGGUCAAGGAUGGACUCGCGGCCGAUCAGGUAGUUGGUGAGGUAACGGCUCACCAAGGCGACGACGGGUAGCCGGCCUGAGAGGGUGACCGGCCACACUGGGACUGAGACACGGCCCAGACUCCUACGGGAGGCAGCAGUGGAGAAUAUUGCACAAUGGGCGCAAGCCUGACGCAGCAACGCCGCGUGAGGGAUGACGGCCUUCGGGUUGUAAACCUCUUUUAGUAGGGAAGAAGCGAAAGUGACGGUACCUGCAGAAAAAGCACCGGCUAACUACGUGCCAGCCGCCGCCGUAA